GCGAGGGUGGCGGAACUGGCAGACGCGCUAGACUUAGGAUCUAGUACCGCAAGGUGUGGGGGUUCGACUCCCCCCUCUCGCA
rnacentral:tRNA from 1 species